CCCCUAGAUGUUCUGGGCCGCACGCGCGCUACACUGAACAGUUCAACAAGUCUUAACCUUGGCCGAUAGGUCUGGGUAAUCUUUGAACGCUGUUCGUGAUUGGGAUAGACCUUUGCAAUUAUGGGUCUUCAACGAGGAAUGCCUAGUAAGCGCAAGUCAUCAGCUUGCGUUGAUUACGUCCCUGCCCUUUGUACACACCGCCCGUCGCUCCUACCGAUUGAAUGGUCCGGUGAAGCGCUCGGACCGCGGCCUCUUGACGGUUUUCCGUCGAUUGGCUGUGGGAAGUUCGUUAAACCUUAUCAUUUAGAGGAAGGAGAAGUCGUAACA
rnacentral:rRNA from 1 species